rnacentral:rRNA from 1 species
CCUACGGGAGGCUGCAGUGGGGAAUAUUGCGCAAUGGGCGAAAGCCUGACGCAGCGACGCCGCGUGAGGGAUGAAGGUCUUCGGAUCGUAAACCUCUGUCAGCAGGGAAGAACGGUCACUGUGCUAAUCAGCAGUGAAUUGACGGUACCUGCAAAGGAAGCACCGGCUAACUCCGUGCCAGCGGCCGCGGUAAUACGGGGGGUGCGAGCGUUAAUCGGAAUUACGGGGCGAAAGGCGCUCGUAGGCGGUAUGUCAAGUCAAGGGUGAAAUCCCCGCGCUCAACGUGGGAACUGCCUUUUAAACUGGAGAACUGGAGUGUGUGAGAGGAGAGUGGAAUUCCAGGUGUAGGAGUGAAAUCCGUAGAUAUCUGGAGGAACAUCAGUGGCGAAGGCGACUAUCUGGCACAUAACUGACGCUGAGGAGCGAAAGCGUGGGUAGCAAACAGGAUUAGAUACCCAGUAGUC